AUUGAACGCUGGCGGCAGGCCUAACACAUGCAAGUCGAACGAGUGGCGCACGGGUGAGUAAUGUCUGUGAAACUGCCUGAUGGAGGGGGAUAACUACUGGAAACGGUAGCUAAUACCGCAUACCAGCGGAUGUGCCCAGGUGGGAUUAGCUAGUAGGUGGGGUAACGGCUUACCUAGGCGACGAUCCCUAGCUGGUCUGAGAGGAUGACCAGCCACACUGGAACUGAGACACGGUCCAGACUCCUACGGGAGGCAGCAGUGGGGAAUCUUGCACAAUGGGCGCAAGCCUGACGGAGCCAUGCCGCGUGUGUGAAGAAGGUCUUCGGGUUGUAAAGCACUUGCAGAGGGGAAGCGGUACCUGCAGAAGAAGCACCGGCUAACUCCGUGCCAGCAGCCGCGGUAAUUC
rnacentral:rRNA from 1 species